rnacentral:tRNA from 1 species
GGGAAGGUGGCUCAGUGGUAGAGCACUUGCCUUGCAUGCAUCAAACUUGUUAUGUGCCUUCUCU